GAUGAAGAACGUAGCGAAAUGCGAUAAGUAAUGUGAAUUGCAGAAUUCAGUGAAUCAUCGAAUCUUUGAACGCACAUUGCGCCCGCCAGUAUUCUGGCGGGCAUGCCUGUUCGAGCGUCAUUUCAACCCUCAGGCCCCCAGUGCCUGGUGUUGGGGAUCGGCCCAGCCUUCCUGUAAGGCCGCCGGCCCCGAAAUCUAGUGGCGGUCUCGCUGUAGUCCUCCUCUGCGUAGUAGCACAACCUCGCAGUUGGAACGCGGCGGUGGCCAUGCCGUUAAACACCCCACUUCUGAAAGUUGACCUCGGAUCAAGUAGGAAUACCCGCUGAACUUAAGCAUAUCAAUAAGCGGAGGA
rnacentral:misc_RNA from 1 species